GCCGGAUUAGCUCAUCAGGUAGAGCAACUGAUUUGUAAUCAGUGGGUGGUGGGUUCGAGUCCUGCAUCCGGCACCA
rnacentral:tRNA from 1 species